UACGGGGGGGGCAAGCGUUGUUCGGAAUUACUGGGCGUAAAGGGCUCGUAGGUGGCCAACUAAGUCAGACGUGAAAUCCCUCGGCUUAACCGGGGAACUGCGUCUGAUACUGGAUGGCUUGAGUUCGGGAGAGGAGAGUGGAAUUCCCAGUGUAGAGGUGAAAUUCGUAGAUAUUGGGAAGAACACCGGUGGCGAAGGCGGCUCUCUGGACCGAUACUGACGCUGAGGCGCGAAAGCGUGGGGGGCAAACAGG
rnacentral:rRNA from 1 species